GAUGAACGCUAGCUACAGGCUUAACACAUGCAAGUCGAGGGGAAACGAUGAGAGAGCUUGCUCUCUUAGUCGUCGACCGGCGCACGGGUGAGUAACGCGUAUCCAACCUGCCUCUGACCAAGGGAUAACCCGUCGAAAGUCGGACUAAUACCUUAUGCAGUCGUCGGAAGUCAUCUGAUGACGACGAAAGAUUUCAUCGGUGAGAGAUGGGGAUGCGUCUGAUUAGCUUGUUGGCGGGGUAACGGCCCACCAAGGCGACGUUCAGUAGGGGUUCUGAGAGGAAGGUCCCCCACAUUGGAACUGAGGCACAGUCCAAACGCCUACGGGAGGCAGCAGUGAGGAAUAUUGGUCAAUGGGCGUAAGCCUGAACCAGCCAAGUAGCGUGCAGGAUGACGGCCCUAUGGGUUGUAAACUGCUUUUAUGCGGGGAUAAAGUGAGGGACGUGUCCUUCAUUGCAGGUACCGUAUGAAUAAGGACCGGCUAAUUCCGUG
rnacentral:rRNA from 1 species